rnacentral:lncRNA from 12 species
AUCUUGUUCGUAUCCCAAGAGGCCUCAUCCACCAGGGCGGCCUCGGGCCCGGGGUCCCCAGGGCGGCCCUCGCGGGGCGGGCGUCAGGACGGACACGGGCCGCCGCCGGCAGAGCACAGGACUGGGCGGGGCCUGCGCGGGCCGCAGCGGGACGGGGCGGCGGAGCACUCGGCGGCCGCGGGCACGAGGGCCCCAGAGCGCGGCGCCCCGGGGUGGAGGCGCCUCCGCAGCAAGCCGGCGGGACCCAGACGCGGCCGCUCGCGCCCCCCACGGCACCCACGGGGGACCCCGACUCGUCGCUCCCCAAGGCGGCGUCUGCGCUGCGGGCUGCGUCCUCGUCGCUGGAACGAAGCCGCCGCAGGAGCCGCCGAGCCCCCCGCGGCUGCCCUCGCUCUCGACCCCUGCCGGCGCCAGAGCCGCGCUCCCAGCAGGCAGGGGCUCCGCGACGCCGGCACACGGGCCCCAGGCACCCGCGGUGAGCGGAGCGACCGAGGGACACCGCGGCCCGCAGGACGAGGGGCGGAGGGAACGUCCAGGGGCCCGCGUGGGGUCGGGCUGCCGGGCACGGGGGGGGCACCUGCGGCGACCAGCGCGCACCGGGUCUGGGCGAGCGGCCGCGUGUCCUCCGGAGAACUCCGGGCUCCCGGGAGGGUCCCGAGGGCGGGGCGGGAGGACGGGCCGGGCAGCUCGGGGACACCGCGGGGGCCGGGGCGGCCGACGGGGCCUCUCAGGGAUCCGUGUCCGGCCUCGGCCCCAGGUCUGCGGCGACCGGUCAGGCCCUGGGCAGGCGCACGCGGGGGCGGGGGCGGGGGCGGGGACGGGGGCGGGGCCCUUCCGGCGGCUCAGGCUGGCCCCGGCCCCCCGCAGGCGGCCCGGCGUGGUCGGCGCUGGGCACGCGGCCUCCAGCCCCGGGGGAGGCUCCGGCGGCGGCGGCGCGGCCACGGGGACAAGCGCCGCCCUCGGCCGGGUGGGGCGCAGGGAGCCGCGGGGCGGGGCGGGCUGCACGGCGGGGCCUCACCCCUGCGCCCCCGAGGCCGAGGCCAGGGCUUCCCCCGACCGCCCGACUCCAGGGGCGCGCGGCUCCGGCUCCAGCUCCGGCUCCGGCCCCACUCCCGGGGCUGCAGGCGCGGGCCUCGCCGGGCGCUCGGGGUCCUGAGGGCGCUGAUCCCGGCCACGCGCCCGCCCCCGCCCUCGCCCCCGGCCCAGGCCCGUGCUUCGCGGCGAGGACACGGGCCGCCCGACAGGGACGCGGAACACGACGCAGCAGCCACGGCCCGACCCACGGGGAGCCGCGGCCGCCGAGGAGCGUCGAGGUACGGGCGGCUUCGUCCCAGCUGCAGGCGGCGGCGGCCGACACCGCCACACGGGCACGCGGGGCCACGCGGGGGCAGGACGUGCCGGAGCCGCGCCGCCGUCCCCGUCCCCGUCCUCGUCCCCGUCCCCGGGGGGCCCCGAGGGCCGCUGCGCCGGGGAGGGCUCCCGCGGCGGCCACGGGCGGGCACAGGGGGGCGUCCGGGAGGCCGGCCGGAGGCAGACGGGGCCGCGGGACGGGCGCGCCACGGGCUCGGGGCCCAGGUGCCUCCGCCCGCACAGCUCGAGGCGGAGGCCGCGUGCUCCCCCUGCCCGCCCCGCGGCGAGGCCCCGAGCUGCUCCGCCGCCCGGCCGGAAGCCAGGGCUCCACGGGGCCUCCGCGCCUCCCCUGCUGCUGCCCCGGAGCCGGAGCCGGAGCCGAGCCGGAGCCGAGCCGAGGAGACCUCGCGGGAACUGCCGUCGGGACAGCCUCAAGCGGAAACCGGCCUCACCCGGCCCAGGGCGGCAGGAAGCGCCAAGACUUCCGGGCGGGCCGCCGCCACGCUCAGCCAGUGA